CAAUAGCGUAUAUUAAAGUUGUUGCAGUUAAAAAGCUCGUAGUUGGAUUUGUGGUUCGUCCUUGUGGCCUUUGCCUUUGUUGGCUUUGGCUGUCUUUGGUCGUCCAUCCUUGGGUGGAAUCUGUGUGGCAUUAGGUUGUCGCGCAGGGGAUGCCCAUCGUUUACUGUGAAAAAAUUAGAGUGUUCAAAGCAGGCUUAUGCCGUUGAAUAUAUUAGCAUGGAAUAAUGAUAUAGGACCUUGGUACUAUUUUGUUGGUUUGCGCACUAAGGUAAUGAUUAAUAGGGACAGUUGGGGGUAUUCGUAUUCCAUUGUAAGAGGUGAAAUUCUUGGAUUUUUGGAAGACGAACUACUGCGAAAGCAUUUACCAAGGAUGUUUUCAUUAA
rnacentral:rRNA from 1 species